rnacentral:rRNA from 1 species
GUAGCGUGCCUUUGGGAUCAGGAUUGAUUCAUCGUCUUCUAGUAAGAAAAAGUAGAAAUAUUAUGUCAAUAUCGGUUUGCUUUUCAUAUAAAAUAAUGAGUAAUAAAACGUUAUUCAAAGACAUUAAACAUCUUAUGAUAUCUACUUUUCACACACUAUUUAUUUUUGUCUAAAAACUUUUUUUCUUAUGAAGGAGCUGAUCGAUUUAAAGUAAAAGAGUUGGUAAAACUAAUAAUUUUAUUUAUCGUUUUACAAAAACAUUUCUACAUAAUUAGGUAGUACCCCCUGCUCCCUGCAUAGUAAAGAGCAGGUUUUCUCUAAGGUAGCAAAAUAAUUUGAUUAUUAAUUUUAGUCCAGUAUGAAAGGGGAUAAAAUAAAUGGAAAUUAACACUUUUUUAAAUAGAAUAAACAGUCAAAAUUCUGUUUAGGUUAGGCACUACGAUAAGACCCUAGGAUCUUGAAUUUGUUGGGGAAACACAGUAAGAUUCUUUCUCUUAACCCAUAAAGACAUAGAUACCCUAGGGAUAACAGCAUUAAUUUUACGUAGUUUUUAUACAAUAAGAAUAGUUGACCUCGAUGUUGGAUUGAACUUGAUAAAUAGACUUGUUAGGAUUGUUCAUCCUUAGCUAGUUCAAGUGAUCUGAGUUCAGAACGUUGUAAAACAGUUCAGUUUCAAUAGGCUUUUGGUGUUUCCUUUUUUUUUAGUACGAAAGGAAAAAAAGAAGUUUU